rnacentral:rRNA from 1 species
CACGUAGGGUGCGAGCGUUUGUCCGGAAUUAUUGGGCGUAAAGAGCUCGUAGGCGGUGUGUCGCGUCGGCCGUGAAAACCUGCAGCUUAACUGUGGCUUGCGGUCGAUACGGGCAUCACUGGAGUUCGGCAGGGAGACUGGAAUUCCUGGUGUAGCGGUGAAAUGACGCAGAUAUCAGGAGGAACACCGGUGGUGUAGACGGCUCUCUGGACCAUAAACUGACGCUG